rnacentral:misc_RNA from 1 species
AAAAGUCGUAACAAGGUUUCCGUAGGUGAACCUGCGGAAGGAUCAUUACAGAGUUCAUGCCCGAAAGGGUAGACCUCCCACCCUUGUGUAUUAUUACUUUGUUGCUUUGGCGAGCUGCCUUCGGGCCUUGUAUGCUCGCCAGAGAAUACCAAAACUCUUUUUAUUAAUGUCGUCUGAGUACUAUAUAAUAGUUAAAACUUUCAACAACGGAUCUCUUGGUUC